rnacentral:rRNA from 1 species
UACAGAGGCCCCAAGCAUUAUCCGGAUUCACUGGGCGUAAAGGGUGCGUAGGCGGUGUUAUUAGUCGGGUGUUAAAUCCUGGGGCUCAACCUCAGAAUCGCAUUCGAAACGGUAACACUAGAAGAAGUAAGAGGUUAGCAGAACUCUCGGUGUAGGGGUGAAAUCCGUUGAUAUCGAGGGGAAUACCAAAUGCGAAGGCAGCUAACUGGGACUUUCUUGACGCUGAGGCACGAAAGCAUGGGUAGCGAAUCGG